UAGUGGAUUUGGCUAUCUUACCAGCUUAGGGAAAGUGCUGAUUGGUCCCUUCUCAGAUGACUCAAUAAUCGAAUUUGAUUGGGCUGGAUUAGCAUCUUCAUCAUCACUGCAACACGUGUCUUUGUAUGGAAUGCAUGACACGAAAUCUCUGCCACAUCAGCUUCAAGACUCGACUACCAUCACAUCACUAUCUCUACUUUACUUUGGAGCAAUCGAAGCCUUACCAGAUUGGCUUGGGAACCUUGCGUCUCUUGAUGAGCUAAUCCUAUUCAAUUGCCCAAAGCUUGAAUAUUUACCCUCCGUAGAUGCCAUGGAACGCCUCAAAUUAAGACGUCUGAAAAUUUGGUGGUGUCCUCUAUUAGAACGAAGAUGCACUCCUCGAAGCGGCUCCGAGUGGCCCAAGAUCUCUAAUAUUCCGGAGCGUGAAAUUGAUGUGGUAAGAUCUCAUCUCAAAAUUUUAAUUAAUUCCUUCUCAUUAUUGGAUCAUCUUAUUCUACCCCGUAUUUGUCCCUCACUCUCUUUCUCCAUAAAUAUCUAUUCCUCUACUUCUUCUGGCAAAAGAUUACUCUCUCUUUCAUGUCAUUAACAAAGUAGAGUUACGAGCAAAUUGAAAGAUAACAAAAUUGUGGAUUUCAUCUGCUUUUCUGAACCAUCCGAAGGAUGAACUUGGUAAACAUUCAGCUUCAAUGGGGUAUGUUAUUAUUUUUUUUGUCACUGAUAUUUCCAAACAACAUUAAAACCAAUGAAAUAGCAAUUUGGGGAGAACAUUACAAUUUUUGUUUUUACCGCUGGCAUUUAAUAGAUGGAUAUGUUCUUAAUAUUCACUGUUAUCUCUCUGUAAGACUCUGCAUUAUGAUUGCCAUUAAAUUAGGCUGCUGCUAAAACUAUAAAUUCUUAUCAUCUUUUAAAAUUUUUAAAAUUCAGAUACUAUAACUAGCUACUUUUCUAUUUUGUGAAUUGGAUUUUCUUAUCAUCAGGCUGUGGUUUCCAAUCAUUUUUGAAGAAAGAUGAGGAGGUAUGUGGUUUGGAAAUUUCUCCACCCAACUUACUAGAAGUACAAGGGAAUUGGUCCAAGUUUGCAAGUAUGUUUGAGACAUGGAAUUGUGCCUAAAUGCAGGUUGGUAUCUGCACUAGUAAGUGUUCUUUAUGGCUUAAUCAAUGGAAUAUAACUUGAUUUUUGCUCUUUAGGAUUUUGAGUGAUAAAUUGUUGCACGAGUUACCAGACCCAACCUUUCUAUGGCUCAUAUUUCUGCUUAAUGUCAUAACUGAAGCAGAACUGUGAUGUAAUAUUGUUAUUUUUUUUCCAGAAUUUGUUUAGGAAGCAGAGUACAUGUUUUUUGGACAAAGAACACCAACGUUCCCGUGUUGUUCUUAUGAGAAUGUCAGGAGGGAGGAGUUAUUUUCACUUAUCUGUCAGGUUUUGAAGAUGGAAGGUAGUUAUCUGUGAUUUUUCCCACUAGAAUGCCAUAUAUUGCUCAGAAUGUGGAAAUGAAGGUAAAAAAUGUUGACUGCAUGUCUAUUGGCCUGUUUCAAUGGCUUUUCGUUUUUGUUUUUUUUUUUAUCUAUUUUCUGGAAGUAUUUAACAAAAUAAAUCAAAUGUUGAACCUUUUCUCAUUGUAGCAUGCUGAAAACAGAGUGGCUUGUGCCAGGCUUGUAGAAAGCAGUAUGGAUUGAGAAGAAUUAGAGAAGAGCAUGGUAGCUGGUACUGGAGAGUUAUCAAGGUACAAGACUUGCUUGAAGAAAACUGGACGUGCUAAUACUUUAGUUUCAGAGGUGACAAGAUUUGAUGGAAAGAAGUUAGACAUUGUAGACAGCAUUGGUGAUCGUUUGGAUGACAUAAACGAAGCAUGCGAUUGCAGUGUCAGUCGUUCAUUUGGAUGGAAAUAGUUCAAAGUUUUGGUGUACUUUGGAGCAAUCGAAGCCUUACCAGAUUGGCUUGGGAACCUUGCGUCUCUUGAUGAGCUAAUCCUAUUCAAUUGCCCAAAGCUUGAAUAUUUACCCUCCGUAGAUGCCAUGGAACGCCUCAAAUUAAGACGUCUGAAAAUUUGGUGGUGUCCUCUAUUAGAACGAAGAUGCACUCCUCGAAGCGGCUCCGAGUGGCCCAAGAUCUCUAAUAUUCCGGAGCGUGAAAUUGAUGUGG
rnacentral:lncRNA from 1 species